CACGGCAUGCAUGCGUCUUCCGGUGUGCGGAAGUACUCUUACUUAUGGAUACUGCAUGUAAGGUACAGCCAAACGAACCUCCUUGGAGUCCCAUACUUAACGUGGCUUUUCGACUAAAAAAUGACUGUAGGGCCCUUUAAUAAUGUGAGAAUCAAAUUGAAACCUUGACACCCCCCCCCGGCAUACCCCCGGGAAUUUGGAUUUUGACGUUUUGGUCAUGUCAAAUUCCCUACAUACAUUUGUAUUUCCCGUUCAAAUACACCACGUAUUGUGAAAAAUUGGAGUUCAAAUACCCCACCCCAUGUAUGAAUUAGAAGCUACAGCAUUUUGUAAUUUUGGAAUUACAAAGUUUGUCUUUCCUUCAGAGACUCUCUUCAAUCGUUCAAAGCCAUUUUCUUGUAGCCAACCAACCUAAGAUAUGUCCAUUGUUAGCAUAAUAUGAAAUAAUUUUACCGGCCUAUUCAUAUGUUCACCUGACU